CUUUCAUCAAGACCAAUGACACUAUUUGACAUUAAGUCAAAUCGUGCAGAGAAAAACUGGGGCAAAAGUCUUAUUUUGUAAUUUGUCAGAAUGGGUUCUGAAAAGCUGUGCUUGCUCCCAAGGGUUUCCUGCAGGCGAAAAGGAAACUUCCCUAAGACAGAAGAGGGAAUCCACCAUUUGGCCCCGGAUGGAUGGUCUCAGCCACAGGACAGGAACAAGGACAGGAAUCUGCUCACAGGUCCCCGCCCAGCUGCUCUCUGACCGGCCACAGUAUUCAGGCCAAGACACUCAGCUGUGACUGCGAAUGCUACUUGUCUGACCUAAGGAUCUAAGGACUGUAGCUGCCUUGUUUGCAUUUCUUACUCCAACGAUAACUCAAAGAAAAGAAAAUGAAUCACCGUGGAAAAUGAGGGGAGGGUGCAAAAGUAGUGCCGCAGAGCCUCAGAAUCCUCCCACCUGCCCUCCACCUGCAUCUCCACCAGCCCAUUCUCACCCUUCCCCACAUCGCAGGAGAGGAACCGCCCAGUUUCCGGGAAGACAGGGUCACUUGGUUUAGCUGGAGUGGUCCCACUCUUCCUAAGUACCUGGUCUUCACAGUAGCUGCUGUGGCAGGGAAGGACGCAAUCCCAGGACUAGACUCUUAUCUUCUCCUUUUGCCCAGGCCCCACCAGCUUCCACACUGAACAACACGGGGCCUGUGGAUCCAUCCUCAUCCCCUCCCUAAGCUACUGACCCACUCCCCUCCCCCUCCUGGCAUUGAUGGGCUGUCCUCAGGGAAGCCAGUGACCCUAGUCCAGGGCCUCAGACCAGGGUCAAGGGGCAGAAUGUCUACACCAGGCCAGGGAUCCCUGCAGACUGGUCUUCGGGAAGUGCACCCCCAGAUGCAAUCAGUUCACAGAGGAAAACCACAUUUUGUUUAGUCUUUUCCUAGUCUAGAAGGCCUAGUAUUUAAUAAACCCUGGAGCCAGCCCUGAGGGGGACUGGCUUUUAUGGGCUCCAGGCAGCUCUCUCAGCCUCUUCCCAGGUGGGGGGGCUUGGCCUGUUGGCAGCUGACUUGAGUUUUCUUCCCAGCCCCACCUCGCCCAAUGCCCCCACCUUUUCCAUGAGAUGAAGAGAAACUUGGCCUCCAAGGGUCACUCUUCUCCCCAGGAAUGUGUGGCCCAGCUUCUCCAGUUUAAAAGACUUUCCUCUGCUCCAGGGCUGACCCCAAACAGAUGGGAACCUCUAGAGCUUGGUUGGCCAAUGCCAUGUUCAGCCCAGUCACAGCUGAGAUCUUGUCACCUAGGUGAGUGCUUUACUGCUGGAGAAGUAGCAAUCAAGAGAACAGUUCUUUUUAACAUGGACAUGAGAGAUUUUAGGGACCAGUCCCCAGUGCUCAAAUCAUAGCAGGUCCCACCCAAGAACUUGGCUCAUCCACAAACCAAGCUCCUGCCAAGCCCUGGCUUAUGGAGAUGGACCAGACAUUCCUGGGGCAUCAUGGCAGGCGGCCACUGAUGCUGUCUCAAAUCCUGGGGUUCCAUAUUACGGAGAGAAUCAGCUGCAAAAGGCAACAAUUGUCUUUGAGUCACCCCUGCCCUUCCAAAAAUCAGGCUUUCAAGAGUUGAAGGCGUGAAGCGUAAUGCAGGGAAUUUCUGACAGUGCAGAGGGUAUCUGACAGGCUGGGAUGUUCCAGCGAUGACUGAACACGCAGAUUGAAUGGAACACUGAUUACAUUCUUGGUUAGCCGCCUAUAUAGCCCAUACUGGGUCCUCAUUACAUGUGCCCUAACAACAAACAUUAUGUUUCAUUAAAAUAUUACACACUUAGGAAAAUACUUCUAAAAAUGCAAAGAGGAGAAUAAAAACUACCGCAAGUGCUAUACUGAGACCCAGCGCUGUGGCAAGUUCCCCUGACCUGUCUGCAGGGAUCAUUACAAGCCGAUACUGGCUGCCCAGCGGGACCUGAUGAGACAUCAGAGAGCUCACGUGACCUCCAUUAUCACUGUCACCGCCGUGCGUGCUGUUCACACAAACAUCGGAGAUGUAAGUGACACUUUACAACAAUUCCUGAGCCUUCCAUCAUGUGGCUCAGAAUGUCAUGGCCCAGAUGAUGUCGGGGGGUAUUAAAACAAAUAAAUGAACCAUCGAACAAGUAAAUAAAUAAAUACACAAAGGAAAGCGGGGAGAGAGAGGGAAGGAACCGGUUAGGGCACUCACACAGUGCAGAGGAGUCUGAAAAGGAAUGCUGCCUGCUGGCGCCCUGGCUCUCUGUCUCUCUCCCUGUCUUUCUGUCUCUGUGUGUGUUUUUCCUCACUCUCUGUCUCUCUCGCCAUCUAGCUGUCUCUCCUCUCUCGGCCCUUUCUCAUCAUAAACCCCCUUACAUGUGAUCUCCUUUAAUCCUCACAACAGCCUGAUGUAGUCACUGGCUUUCCUCCUAUUUUACAGCUGAGAAAACUGGAGCUCUGAGAGAUGGACUACCUUGCUCCAAGACACACAGAGACAAAGAGACGUUUGAAGUUUAAUGUCAUUCUCUUGCUCAGCCUUCCUCAAUGAGGCCCCCAGAAGGGUGAGUGAGGGGCUCUCGGAAGGAGUGGGGCUACUGCAGGGCUGGCUCCAGCCGCAGUGUGGGAGUACCCAGGUCUUUGCUUGGAACAAACACCUAUUUGACAGACAGCAGUUGGGUCCUGGGUAGAACCAUUGAGACCAGCUACCAUUCCUGGUUCUGAAAUUUAAUAAUGAAAUAAAUGUAAUCACACAUAUUUAAUUAAGCCAUUUCUUAAUAAUCAUUAUCAUAGCAUGGCACACUCCCCACACGCCUGGCAUAGCAAGGCACUAUCAUACGCAUAGAAGCAUAGACCUUUGCUGAGAGCGUCACUCCGUACCAACCCCAGACUCAGUAGCGGUGAGAACUUGCCCAAGUCAAAAGCUUCCCUGCGGCUCAUUUCCUCCUCUGUAGAACGGGGGACUGAAAACAAGGAACAGGCAUCGGGACAGCGGAUCAUGAAACUGGUGCCCCAUGCAGUGGGUACUCUAAAAUACGAAGGAGCAGGUUUCGGGUGCAGCAGCAGCAAGGAUAGAGCUGAAACACAGAUGCCUAAGGGAAGG
rnacentral:lncRNA from 1 species